UUCUAUUGAAGACUAAUUUGGUACUACUAAAAGUGGAUUUUGAAGAAGGUACUUCAGGCCUUGAUCUGAGUAAUUACUCCGACUUGAUUAUCAGAUCACCAGAUCAGGAUGGGAAUGUGCUACAUCUACAAUAAAGCAAUUUCCAGGGCUCGGAAUGUCAACUUUGAAUGACACCACUAGUAGUAGGAAAAGAGAAGUUUUUGCAGAAGAAUCUUCAAGGGAUUUCAAUCUAACUCAGUGAUUCAGGGAUAUACAAUUACACAGUGAAUUGUAUCAAUGCUAAAUCCAUCCAGAAUCAACUGAAUCAAAGACAGAGAACUGUGGAGGUUUAUGGAUAUAAUUAUUGAGUUACUACCGCACCAAAUCAGUUUCGUGCAUUUAUAUCAGAACCUUAGGAUUGAACAGAAGAGUUUGUAACUGCUGAAUUUGAGGAAGCUCAAGUCGACGAAAGUUAACACUUUUGAAGAAUGUGAGGACAGAA
rnacentral:lncRNA from 1 species